rnacentral:tRNA from 3 species
GUCGGGGUAGCUCAGCUGGUAGAGCAGAGGACUGAAAAUC